UACGUAGGGCGCGAGCGUUGUCCGGAAUUACUGGGCGUAAAGCGCACGUAGGCGGCUUUGCAAGUCAGAGGUGAAAGCCCGGGGCUCAACCCCGGAAUUGCCUUUGAGACUGCAUCGCUAGAACGUCGGAGAGGUGAGUGGAAUUCCGAGUGUAGAGGUGAAAUUCGUAGAUAUUCGGAAGAACACCAGUGGCGAAGGCGACUCACUGGACGACUGUUGACGCUGAGGUGCGAAAGCGUGGGGAGCAAACAGG
rnacentral:rRNA from 1 species